CAUUUGGGGCUGUAGGCGUCUUAGUUUGGGAGCGCAGUGGUAUGUGGGGGGAGAGAGUGUCUUCUUUUAGGGAGCACAGUGGUGUUUUGGGGAGAAAAGUCUGAUUUGGGGGUGAAGAGUGGUUUUGUGGUCGGGAAAAUGCCUUCUUUUCUUGACGAAAGUGAGAUUUGGGUCGAGAAAGUCUCAUCUAUGGAGGAGAAAAGAGGUCCGAGGGGAAGAAACGGUCGUAUUUUUGGGAGAAAAGUGGCGUUUUUGAGAGGAGAGAUCGUAGUUUUGGAGAAGAGUGGUAUGGUGUGGGAAGAAAAAUGGCCCCACAGUUAAGCAUCAUCUCCCACAAAAUACCACCUUUCAAACGAAAACAAAACAUUUUCUCACCAAAAUACUGCACUUCUUUCAGAAACGUGACAUUUUCUCCCCCCCCACACACACAGAAAAAAACAAACAAAAUAACGGCAACCAAAACAACAAACCAAACACUUCUACCCACCAUUGGACUGGCAGGCAUGUGUUGGGCUUGUCUGCGGGUAGAAGGAACAAGGUUAGGCGGAGUUUCUACAGAGAACAACUGCUUCGAUUUCUUUCUAGAUUUGGUCGUAAGUAUCAGAGGAGCGGCAAGAAAGGGCCCUGCCACUGCCCGUCGGUUACUACCCAGCUGUACGUGA
rnacentral:lncRNA from 7 species